GCAUCUGAGCAUGAUGAAAAAUGUAACUUUCGUUCUCUGGUAUUUUUAUGUCGAAAAUGUAUGGAGACCUGAACAAAAGAGGC
rnacentral:snoRNA from 1 species